rnacentral:rRNA from 1 species
UACGUAGGGUGCGAGCGUUGUCCGGAAUUAUUGGGCGUAAAGGGCUCGUAGGCGGUUUGUCGCGUCGGGAGUGAAAACCCAGGGCUUAACCCUGGGCUGGCUUCCGAUACGGGCAGACUAGAGGUAUGCAGGGGAGAACGGAAUUCCUGGUGUAGCGGUGAAAUGCGCAGAUAUCAGGAGGAACACCGGUGGCGAAGGCGGUCUCUGGGCAUUACCUGACGUGAGGAGCGAAAGUGUGGGGGAG